UGCAUCGAUGAAGAACGCAGCGAACUGCGAUAAGUAAUGUGAAUUGCAGAAUUCAGUGAAUCAUCGAGUCUUUGAACGCACAUUGCGCCCCCUGGUAUUCCGGGGGGCAUGCCUGUCCGAGCGUCAUUGCUGCCCUCAAGCACGGCUUGUGUGUUGGGCCCCCGUCCCCCUCCCAGGAAGGGGACGGGCCCGAAAGGCAGCGGCGGCACCGUGUCCGGUCCUCGAGCGUAUGGGGCUUUGUCACCCGCUCGACUAGGGCCGGCCGGGCGCCAGCCGACGUCUCCAACCAUUUUUCUUCAGGUUGACCUCGGAUCAGGUAGGGAUACCCGCUGAACUUAAGCAUAUCAAUAAGCGGAGGA
rnacentral:rRNA from 1 species